rnacentral:sRNA from 1 species
UACGUGAUUAGACACUUUUCAAGGAGUAGGCACUUUGUAUGGGCAAUUUUACUUAUUUACCCUUUAAUUACAUCGGUUACAAUCUCUUGUCUCUCUCCUUUUUCUAUCUCUUUUUUUUCUUCAGAAAACACAAAAUCCAGCGGAAGAUGAUGGUUGAUGGGUUUGCUAGAAUUACAACUUGGUUUAAAAAUCUGCACCCUGAUAAUUUUGUUGUCUAUGUGUUUAUUCAUGUAAUUGUAGUUUCAUGCGUUCUACCUAAAGUUCAUUCAAUUGCUCCAAAACCUUAAAGUUUGCAGUUUUUUUUCUUCCAGUUCUUCACUUGCUAGAUCUUAGAAUUUCAGAGACCAUAAAAUAUGAAGAACAAAAAAGAAGAAAGAAUAAGUGAACGAGCGACCGAGUGAAGGAUCUCGUGUAGCAGUAGAAGCCGCGAUCUCGUUUCUCUGGUUUUUGGUGGCAAAUCAUCAGUCGUGGUUCUCCCACUUCUCUGAUAAUCACAGCGGCGAGAGAAAAUUUUGGGCUUAUUUAAUCAAAGUUGUGUUCUCUUAUAUAGCACUUUUCUCAAUUUUCAAUUAGUUUUUAUUUCCUGAGAGUAAACGAUUUCUCAUUUAUUCUAUAUUGGUGGUUUAAGAUUUUAAUUUGAGAGAGAGAAAGAUAAAAAAAACUUGAUCAGUGGAUGCUUUUGCUUCUUGUGGAGUGUUUGAAGAUUUUCCAUUGAUGGAGCAGCUUUGUAUCAGGUUCUUUCCACACUGAUUUAUUCAUAUUGAGUUUUUUUUUUAUUGGGUGUGAAUGUUAUGGUGAAUUGAGUUUAAACUUGUUUGAGUAGAUAUUCGCUUGUUAUGAUGCAUCCGAUUCCCCAAACACUUGCUUUUGUGUUGAUCUUAUAUUCUCUUUGAUUCAAUUUUGCAGAUGAUUCUUUGCAUUACAUUAAUUUACAUCACAAACUGACGUAUUGUGCAUCCAUGAAUUCAACUUGAUUCAAAUGAUUGGUGACCAUAGAUGAUAGUACAAACAUAUAUGGUCAGCUGGACGCCUGCUUGUUAAUGUCAUCCAAGGGAAUCUGUCCAUUCAGACGCAAACAUCGAUAUUAUGCUCCUUUUAUACACAAUAUAAGUAAAUCUGUUUCUUGUUAUAUCUAGGAUUAGUAGACAAUUUUGGUUAUAAUAUUGGGAGUUUCCAUACACAAGUGAAUAAAUGGUUAAAGAAAAAUAGACGAUGUACUUUGAAUGGGUGUUUGAAUUGGUGAUUAUCAUUCAUGUAUAAACUUGUGUAUUGAAAUGAAACGACCUCAUGAGUCACUAGAUUACCACAUGGACUAAACCGCUUGGAUAGUCAUCAAUGGACAACUAUGUCUUUGAUUUGCUUCAAAUGUGUUUUAUUGAUUGGUAAAAUUAUCAUUUUUUGUAUGGUUCAGAGUUUUGUUUUAUGGUUUUAGAUUUAGUGGAGAAGGAUCAUGGGAGGGUUUGGGUUUAAUUUUAGGGUAAGUAAAUUAGGAUUUAGUGUAAAGCGUUAAAGGUAGAGGGUUUACACACUCGUAUGAACCAUUUUUGAAUAUAAUCAUAUGAAUAUUACCAUAGGAAUGAUCCUAUAUUUUACAGUUUUUACAUUAAAAUGUUUUAUCUGCACAAACAAAUACACGAAAGAUGAAUAACACAAAAUCUAAACAUUGUUCACCAAAUCUAAACAUUGUUCACCAAAAUCAAAUAAAAGAAUACUUCAUUAGUUGGAUAACAUAUCUUCGAAGAGUAAUGGACGGAUUCCUAUAGCUGACAAUCGGCAAGUACGUGUUCAUCUAUGAUUUUUAGAAGUAGAGUUGUAUCCAUGAAACAUCGACCAAAUGGAUAUAGUGCAACAAAUGAAGGUGUAUCCACCUAGCGCCGAACAAAUGGAUAUAUAUUUUGUGUUUUCUCGUAAACUUUUCUUGACAUCCAUGAGUCGACAUAAGUAUGGAGUUGCCAGACAAGACACUGGAGCUCACGGCGGCCACCGCAGCCUCAUGGACCAAAGUUUCAAAAAAAGCUCAUAAACAUCAACCAAUCUUCUUGCAUAACCACCACAUACCCAGCCUUAUGCGUCCAAUCACUUUCCAUCUACGCAAAUGACAUCCAAACAUUUUUCAAUUCAAAAACAAGGCAAUAAAUUCAACAGAUCUAACAAAAAUAAAUUUAAAUUGAAGGAUAAAAUCAUAAAAUCUAGAACCCAUAACAAAAAAAAAGUUUAAAGAUUUACAAUCUAAAACCUAAGCUAGAAUCAACGAAUCACAUGUACCAUUGGCCUUUAUGAUUCAAAACCAAAGAAACCUUUUACCAAAAAAAAACAACGAAACCAGAAACCGUAAGUAAGACAAGAGAGAAGAGCAUGGAACCAGAAAAAGAGGAAGAUUAAGGGAAGAGGGAGUUCGGUAGCAGAGAGUAAGGAUCUCCUUCUUCUUCGUCUCGAAAAGGAGAAAUCGAUGAUGUUACUUUUUUUGUUGGUCAUAGUCGUUCAUUGAUGGAGGUUGCAGAUAAUGAAAUGGAUUUGAUGAUGGAGAAUGGAGAAAAGAAUACAAAACUAAAAAAAUAAAGGAAAUUUAGGGUAAACAUAGAUUGUGAUUGUGAAUUUUGAGAUAACCUCAGAAUUUUCAUAAUUUUGUAAGAAUUAUUGAGAACGACUAUGAUGUGAAAGAGGAAUUGAAAAUGAUGAAAAACAAAAGAAUAUGGAAAGGAGAAAUGAUAAAAAAAA